rnacentral:rRNA from 2 species
CGGGAACUCAAAGGAGACUGCCAGUGAUAAACUGGAGGAAGGUGGGGAUGACGUCAAGUCAUCAUGGCCCUUACGAGUAGGGCUACACACGUGCUACAAUGGCGCAUACAAAGAGAAGCGACCUCGCGAGAGCAAGCGGACCUCAUAAAGUGCGUCGUAGUCCGGAUUGGAGUCUGCAACUCGACUCCAUGAAGUCGGAAUCGCUAGUAAUCGUGGAUCAGAAUGCCACGGUGAAUACGUUCCCGGGCCUUGUACACACCGCCCGUCACACCAUGGGAGUGGGUUGCAAAAGAAGUAGGUAGCUUAACCUUCGGGAGGGCGCUUACCACUUUGUGAUUCAUGACUGGGGUGAAGUCGUAACAAGGUAACCGUAGGGGAACCUGCGGUUGGAUCACCUCCUUACCUUAAAGAAGC